ACGAACGCUGGCGGCGUGCCUAAUACAUGCAAGUUGAGCGCUGAAGGUUGGUACUUGUACCGACUGGAUGAGCAGCGAACGGGUGAGUAACGCGUGGGGAAUCUGCCUUUGGGCGGGGGACAACAUUUGGAAACGAAUGCUAAUACCGCAUAAAAACUUUAAACACAAGUUUUAAGUUUGAAAGAUGCAAUUGCAUCACUCAAAGAUGAUCCCGCGUUGUAUUAGCUAGUUGGUGAGGUAAAGGCUCACCAAGGCGAUGAUACAUAGCCGACCUGAGAGGGUGAUCGGCCACAUUGGGACUGAGACACGGCCCAAACUCCUACGGGAGGCAGCAGUAGGGAAUCUUCGGCAAUGGACGAAAGUCUGACCGAGCAACGCCGCGUGAGUGAAGAAGGUUUUCGGAUCGUAAAACUCUGUUGGUAGAGAAGAACGUUGGUGAGAGUGGAAAGCUCAUCAAGUGACGGUAACUACCCAGAAAGGGACGGCUAACUACGUG
rnacentral:rRNA from 1 species